GACGAACGCUGGCGGCGUGCUUAACACAUGCAAGUCGAACGGAAAGGCCCUGCUUUUGUGGGGUGCUCGAGUGGCGAACGGGUGAGUAACACGUGAUUAACCUGCCCUUGACUUUGGGAUAACUUCAGGAAACUGGGGCUAAUACCGGAUAGGAGCUCCUGCUGCAUGGUGGGGGUUGGAAAGUUUCGGCGGUUGGGGAUGGACUCGCGGCUUAUCAGCUUGUUGGUGGGGUAGUGGCUUACCAAGGCUUUGACGGGUAGCCGGCCUGAGAGGGUGACCGGCCACAUUGGGACUGAGAUACGGCCCAGACUCCUACGGGAGGCAGAAGUGGGGAAUAUUGCACAAUGGGCGGAAGCCUGAUGCAGCAACGCCGCGUGAGGGAUGACGGCCUUCGGGUUGUAAACCGCUUUCGCCUGUGACGAAACGUGAGUGACGGUAAUGGGUAAAGAAGCACCGGCUAACUACGUG
rnacentral:rRNA from 1 species